GGGCACAUGGUGUAGUUGGUUAUCACGCUCGCUUAGCAUUUAUGCGGUCUGCGAGAGGUGUUGGGUUCAAUUCCCAAUGUGUCCA